GACGAACGCUGGCGGCGUGCCUAAUACAUGCAAGUAGAACGCUGAAGAGAGGAGCUUGCUCUUCUUGGAUGAGUUGCGAACGGGUGAGUAACGCGUAGGUAACCUGCCUUGUAGCGGGGGAUAACUAUUGGAAACGAAAGCUAAUACCGCAUAACAAUGGAUGACACAUGUCAUUUAUUUGAAAGGGGCAAUUGCUCCACUACAAGAUGGACCUGCGUUGUAUUAGCUAGUAGGUGAGGUAAUGGCUCACCUAGGCGACGAUACAUAGCCGACCUGAGAGGGUGAUCGGCCACACUGGGACUGAGACACGGCCCAGACUCCUACGGGAGGCAGCAGUAGGGAAUCUUCGGCAAUGGGGGCAACCCUGACCGAGCAACGCCGCGUGAGUGAAGAAGGUUUUCGGAUCGUAAAGCUCUGUUGUAAGUCAAGAACGGGUGUGAGAGUGGAAAGUUCACACUGUGACGGUAGCUUACCAGAAAGGGACGGCUAACUACGUG
rnacentral:rRNA from 1 species